rnacentral:tRNA from 1 species
GGGCCGGUAGUUCAGUGGUCUAGAAUGCUGCCCUGUCACGGCAGAGGUCGCGGGUUCAAAUCCCGUCCGGCCCG